rnacentral:rRNA from 1 species
GAGUUUGAUCAUGGCUCAGAACGAACGCUGGCGGCAUGCCUAACACAUGCAAGUCGAACGAGACCUUCGGGUCUAGUGGCGCACGGGUGCGUAACGCGUGGGAACCUGCCUUGAGGUUCGGAAUAACUCAGAGAAAUUUGAGCUAAUACCGGAUAAUGUCUUCGGACCAAAGAUUUAUCGCCUUUAGAUGGGCCCGCGUUGGAUUAGCUAGUUGGUGGGGUAAAGGCCUACCAAGGCGACGAUCCAUAGCUGGUCUGAGAGGAUGAUCAGCCACACUGGGACUGAGACACGGCCCAGACUCCUACGGGAGGCAGCAGUGGGGAAUAUUGGACAAUGGGCGAAAGCCUGAUCCAGCAAUGCCGCGUGAGUGAUGAAGGCCUUAGGGUUGUAAAGCUCUUUUACCCGAGAUGAUAAUGACAGUAUCGGGAGAAUAAGCUCCGGCUAACUCCGUGCCAGCAGCCGCGGUAAUACGGAGG